ensembl:ncRNA F11A1.12 ncRNA
AUGAGAAAAUGUUGUGAAAAAGUGUAAAGCGCAUUUUUUCGCAAUGUUUUUCGCGUUCCUCAUAUCACUUUUCCAAUAUUUGGUGGUUGUAGUGGUAUGGAAACUAUAUGUUUGAGAGCGUUAAUUAUGAGAAUAAAAUGUGACAAAAAAAAAUCACAGUAUUUAUCUAUCACUAGUCACUGGUCAAAAAAACC